rnacentral:SRP_RNA from 2 species
GCCAGGUGUGGUGGCGCACACCUGUAAUCCCAGCUACUCAGGAGGCUGAGACAGGAGAAUUGUUUGAACCUGGGAGGCAGGGGCUGCAGUGAGCUGAGAUCACACCACUGCAUUCCAGCCUGGGUGACAGAGACAGAUUCUGUCUCAA